CGGCAGCACAGAGAAGCUUGCUUCUCGGGUGGCGAGUGGCGGACGGGUGAGUAAUGUCUGGGGAUCUGCCCGAUAGAGGGGGAUAACCACUGGAAACGGUGGCUAAUACCGCAUAACGUCGCAAGACCAAAGAGGGGGACCUUCGGGCCUCUCACUAUCGGAUGAACCCAGAUGGGAUUAGCUAGUAGGUGGGGUAACGGCUCACCUAGGCGACGAUCCCUAGCUGGUCUGAGAGGAUGACCAGCCACACUGGAACUGAGACACGGUCCAGACUCCUACGGGAGGCAGCAGUGGGGAAUAUUGCACAAUGGGCGCAAGCCUGAUGCAGCCAUGCCGCGUGUAUGAAGAAGGCCUUCGGGUUGUAAAGUACUUUCAGCGGGGAGGAAGGCGAUGCGGUUAAUAACCGCGUCGAUUGACGUUACCCGCAGAAGAAGCACCGGCUAACUCCGUGCCAGCAGCCGCGGUAAUACGGAGGGUGCAAGCGUUAAUCGGAAUUACUGGGCGUAAAGCGCACGCAGGCGGUCUGUUAAGUCAGAUGUGAAAUCCCCGGGCUUAACCUGGGAACUGCAUUUGAAACUGGCAGGCUUGAGUCUCGUAGAGGGGGGUAGAAUUCCAGGUGUAGCGGUGAAAUGCGUAGAGAUCUGGAGGAAUACCGGUGGCGAACGCGGCCCCCUGGACGAAGACUGACGCUCAUGUGCGAAAGCGUGGGGAGCAAACAAGAUUAGAUACCCUGGUAGUCCACGCCGUACAC
rnacentral:rRNA from 1 species